rnacentral:rRNA from 1 species
UACGAAGGGAGCUAGCGUUGUUCGGAAUCACUGGGCGUAAAGCGCACGUAGGCGGAUGUGUCAGUCAGGGGUGAAAUCCCGGAGCUCAACUUCGGAACUGCCUUUGAUACAGCACAUCUGGAGUCCGGGAGAGGUGAGUGGAAUUCCUAGUGUAGAGGUGAAAUUCGUAGAUAUUAGGAAGAACACCAGUGGCGAAGGCGGCUCACUGGCCCGGUACUGACGCUGAGGCGACGAAAGCGUGGGGAGCAAACAGG